rnacentral:rRNA from 1 species
UGGGGAAUAUUGGACAAUGGAGGAAACUCUGAUCCAGCAAUUCUGUGUGUGUGAAGAAGGUUUUAGGACUGUAAAACACUUUUAGUAGGGAAGAAAAAAAUGACGGUACCUACAGAAGAAGCAACGGCUAAAUACGUGCCAGCAGCCGCGGUAAUACGUAUGUUGCGAGCGUUAUCCGGAAUUAUUGGGCUUAAAGGGCAUCUAGGCGGUAAGACAAGUUGAAGGUGAAAACCUGUGGCUCAACCAUAGGCUUGCCUACAAAACUGUUGAACUAGAGUACUGGAAAGGUGGGUGGAACUACACGAGUAGAGGUGAAAUUCGUAGAUAUGUGUAGGAAUGCCGAUGAUGAAGAUAGCUCACUGGACAGAAACUGACGCUGAAGUGCGAAAGCUAGGGGAGCAAACAGG